AUGCAAGUCUUGCUCUCACGACUAAUGUUUCUGCCUCAGACUUACACAACCUCAUUUGGCUCUUCCUGUUUCUAGGGGUUAUCUGCCUUCCUGAGGGCAGAGCAAACAGCCCUGCUAUCCCUGCUGCAUAGUACAGCCUGCCAGUCCCAUCAUUUCCCAGAAGGCAGCAGACAGAAUGAAGAGGCAAAAGGGGAAGUGCCUACUUAACACAGCUCAGGGAUGACAACCAGGAUGGUGUCGCUGAUGAUGAUGAUGAGAAGCUCUUCUUCCUGGAUAUGCGGUGCUUUGAUGUGCUGGCUCUGACUAGCUCUGACCCUGUGUUCCCAAGACCCAGGGAGCCUUUGAGGACACCUCGGGGGGAGCAGGUCAUAAGCCAAUGACUCAUUCGUGUUGGGUUGUGGGGUGAGUGGUAACCUCCAAAAUGUGCUCCUGCUCCCUCCCUGCAUGGGAAGUGAAGCCAACCGAGGCAGAGGUGGCCUGUCUGGGCCAACCUUUCCCUCAAGGUGGCAGAAAUGCCCCCAUCAGAAAUGCUCUUUUAGAGCAAACAUUGUCCCCUCCAGGAGCAUCUUAAAAUGUAAAUAUGCUGGGACAAUGUGUGCCUUCUGUGUUCCGGGCCCUGAAAACACUGCAAGAGGAGAAAAGCUACAGCCUCUACCCCCUUAUUUUCCUGAAGGUAGACUGGAGAGUGCAGAGGCUUCCCCCACAUUUCAGGCUCCCCUGCGGAAUGAGAAGCAGCCUCUCGUCCCCUUGUCAGUGCUGAGCCCAUAGGGGUGGUAGCCAACACGAGAGGCAGCGAAGCCUGUUCAAACUUGUAUUUAUUUUCUAAGAGGUCGGGAUGAGGGCAUGGGGAUGGGGAUGCAUAACUUGGGUUUCGGGAGGAGCCACAGACCU
rnacentral:lncRNA from 10 species